ACUUCCUCAUAGAUGAGCAGAUGUGAGGAAAAGUAAUUUCAGCUCUCUAUCAACUUAUCCUGACUAAUCCGAGCGAAUGUUUCAUUGCGAUCGUCUACUUACUGACAGAAAGCUGUGUGGAGCCGUCACUAGUAGUGCACUCAGGGAUUUCUGGAGAAUUUCUCUCAAUGUCUUGGAACGACGGACAGCAUCAUAAUAUUCGUAAUUUUUUGGCGAUGUAGAAGAGAGAGAACCUAAUAAGAUUCCUGGGAGAAAAAAAACCUCACAUCUCAGGAAGAAUGAAUGAGAACAAAAACACAGGUUCGAUUACUGGGACAGAAGGAGAGAUGAGAGAAUGUGUCGAAAACGAAGAAAACUUCGCUGGUGUCGUAAACAUUAGAUGCACUAAAGCAACUACGACAACAACGGUAAUACCGACACAAACAACCACGAACAAUGUAUUAGACACUCAUAAACAAACAUCGACUUCAGGAGAGGUGUCCGGGAGAAGCACAGCCAAACCGACAUCUAAACAUCCUACGAGCACUUCUUGUGGCGGGAUCUCUGGACAAUACAGCUCUUAUCUAAAGGACAACCUCGACAUCGUGCGACAGAAGUGCAGCGAGUUUCACGCCUGUACCGUGGAGCUGUAUAAGUCUGAGAACCUUCACCGCAUCUGGCCGGCGACA